UUCUGUGGUUGUUUGACUGUGCUAGAGGCCUGUGGUAGAGAAGAAGUCCGCAGCAGAAAGCAGUGAGAAAGAGUCUUUCCCAGACCCUCUCCAGUCCCCUGGGUCCACAUCCUGCUCCUCCUCCUCCCGAAGCCCCCACACCCAGAAGGCCAAGGCGCUGGACGCCCACCUUCCCAGCCUGAAGAGGAGGAAACUCAACGAGCACACCGGAGCCAAUGGGAUGGCCAGGAUCUGUGUGGAGUACGAGUGUGAGCUGCAGGAGAGCCAGAAGAGACCGGCCAACCUGCUGGACGCCCUGGACCGAGGGGACCAUCGCAGAGAGGACGAUGA